AAAUAAACUAUGAGAAGAAAAGUAGAUUUAAUCAACCUACCCAGAGAAGCUAUGUUUGGUGAAAAUAGCCUAGUGAGAUUAGAUUGAAAAUGGCCUUUGAGUUUCUUAUCCGAUAUUUAAGAUAAGACGGGCUCGCCCGUUACAGCGAUAGGGUAUGUCAGUACCCGAUGAGUUAUUAAUUGUGAAAUUAAUUUGAAAUUAAGGUGGUAACACGUGGCAAAGCCUCGUCCUUUAU
rnacentral:ncRNA from 1 species